rnacentral:rRNA from 1 species
UACAGAGGUCCCAAGCGUUGUUCGGAUUCACUGGGCGUAAAGGGUGCGUAGGCGGUCGGGUAAGUCUGAUGUGAAAUCUCACAGCUUAACUGUGAAACUGCAUUGGAUACUAUCCGGCUCGAGGAAUGGAGGGGAGACUGGAAUACUUGGUGUAGCAGUGAAAUGCGUAGAUAUCAAGUGGAACACCAGUGGCGAAGGCGAGACUCUGGACAUGUAUUGACGCUGAGGCACGAAAGCCAGGGGAGCAAACGGG